rnacentral:rRNA from 1 species
UACAGGAGGUGCGAGCGUUAAUCGGAAUUACUAGGGCGUAAGCGCACGUUAGGUGGCGACGUAAGUCGGGUCGUGAAAGCCCCGGGCUCAACCUGGGAAUUGCAUUCGAGACUGCAUUGCUGGAGGUACGGAAGAGGAGGGCGGAAUUCCCGGUGUAGCGGAUGAAAUGCGUAGAUAUCGGGAGGAACAUCAGUGGCGAAGGCGGCCCUCCUGGGUCCAGUACUGACACUCAAGUGCGAAAGCGUGGGGAGCAAACAGG